rnacentral:pre_miRNA from 9 species
AUGUAUAUAUCCACAUCUAUGUGUGUGUGUAUAUACGUAUGCACACACACAUAUGUGGAGAUAUGUAUA